rnacentral:rRNA from 1 species
CCGGCGACCGGCGCACGGGUGAGUAACACGUAUGCAAUCCACCUGUAACAGGGGGAGUAACCCGGAGAAAUCCGGACUAAUACCCCAUAAUAUCAUAGAAGGCAUCUUUUAUGGUUGAAAAUUCCGAUGGUUAGAGAUGGGCAUGCGUUGUAUUAGCUAGUUGGUGGGGUAACGGCUCACCAAGGCGACGAUACAUAGGGGGACUGAGAGGUUAACCCCCCACACUGGUACUGAGACACGGACCAG